rnacentral:rRNA from 1 species
UACGAAGGGGGGCUAGCGUUGUUCGGAAUUACUGGGCGUAAAGCGCGCGCAGGCGGUUUUUCAAGUCAGUGGUGAAAGCCCGGAGCUCAACUCCGGAACUGCCAUUGAAACUGUAAAACUUGAGGAUGAGAGAGGUGAGUGGAAUUCCCAGUGUAGAGGUGAAAUUCGUAGAUAUUAGGAAGAACACCAGUGGCGAAGGCGGCUCACUGGUCCGGUACUGACGCUGAGGUGCGAAAGCGUGGGGAGCAAACAGG